GCGAGUGAAGCGGCAAGAGCUCAGAUUUGAAAUCGUGUUUCGGCACGAGUUGUAAAUUGCAGGUUGGAGUCUUUGUGGAAGUGCGUGUCCAAGUCCCUUGGAACAGGGCGCCAGUGAGGGUGAGAGCCCCGUGGGAUGCGCAUUGAAGCUCUAAGGCCCUUCUGACGAGUCGAGUUGUUUGGGAAUGCAGCUCUAAGCGGGUGGUAAAUUCCAUCUAAGGCUAAAUAUUGGCGAGAGACCGAUAGCGAACAAGUACUGUGAAGGAAAGAUGAAAAGCACUUUGAAAAGAGAGUGAAACAGCACGUGAAAUUGUUGAAAGGGAAGGGUAUUGGGUCCGACAUGGGGACUGGGCAUCGUUGCUUCUUGUAGGCGGCGCUCUGUGCUCUCUCUGGGCCAGCAUCGGUUUUUGCCGCAGGAUAAGGGGCGUUGGAACGUGGCUCCUCGGAGUGUUAUAGCCAACGUCAGAUGCUGCGAGCGGGGACCGAGGGCUGCGACAUUUGUCUCGGAUGCUGGCAUAACGGCUCAAUACCGCCC
rnacentral:rRNA from 1 species